CCCUUAGAUGUUCUGGGCCGCACGCGCGCUACAAUGAUGAAUUCAACGAGUUUAUAACCUUGGUUGAAAAGCCUUGGUAAUCUUUUGAACUUUCGUCGUGAUGGGGCUAGACCCUUGCAAUUAUUGGUCUCCAACGAGGAAUUCCUAGUAAACGCAAGUCAUCAGCUUGCAUUGAUUACGUCCCUGCCCUUUGUACACACCGCCCGUCGCACCUACCGAUUGAAUGGUCCGGUGAAAUCUUCGGAUUGAGACUUUGAUUUCUUCACGGAAAACGCUGUUUUAAAAAGUUGAUUAAACCUUACCAUUUAGAGGAAGGUGAAGUCGUAACA
rnacentral:rRNA from 1 species